UACAGAGGGUGCGAGCGUUAAUCGGAGUGACUGGGCGUAAAGGGCGCGUAGGCGGCCUGGCAAGUGAGAGGUGAAAUCCCUGGGCUUAACCUAGGAAUGGCCUUUUAGACUGCGAGGCUGGAGUACAGUAGAGGAUGGCGGAAUUUCCGGUGUAGCGGUGAAAUGCGUAGAGAUCAGAAGGAACACCAGUGGCGAAGGCGGCCAUCUGGACUGGUACUGACGCUGAGGCGCGAAGGCGUGGGGAGCAAACAGG
rnacentral:rRNA from 1 species